GUUGGGUUAAGUCCCGCAACGAGCGCAACCCUUAUCCUUUGUUGCCAGCGGUUAGGCCGGGAACUCAAAGGAGACUGCCAGUGAUAAACUGGAGGAAGGUGGGGAUGACGUCAAGUCAUCAUGGCCCUUACGACCAGGGCUACACACGUGCUACAAUGGCGCAUACAAAGAGAAGCGACCUCGCGAGAGCAAGCGGACCUCAUAAAGUGCGUCGUAGUCCGGAUUGGAGUCUGCAACUCGACUCCAUGAAGUCGGAAUCGCUAGUAAUCGUGGAUCAGAAUGCCACGGUGAAUACGUUCCCGGGCCUUGUACACACCGCCCGUCACACCAUGGGAGUGGGUUGCAAAAGAAGUAGGUAGCUUAACCUUCGGGAGGGCGCUUACCACUUUGUGAUUCAUGACUGGGGUGAAGUCGUAACAAGGUAACCGUAGGGGAACCUGC
rnacentral:rRNA from 1 species